UACGAAGGGGGCUAGCGUUGCUCGGAAUUACUGGGCGUAAAGCGCACGUAGGCGGCUUUCUAAGUCGGGGGUGAAAUCCUGGAGCUCAACUCCAGAACUGCCUUCGAUACUGGAAAGCUCGAGUCCGGGAGAGGUGAGUGGAACUGCGAGUGUAGAGGUGAAAUUCGUAGAUAUUCGCAAGAACACCAGUGGCGAAGGCGGCUCCCUGGCACGGUACUGACGCUGAGGUGCGAAAGCGUGGGGAGCAAACAGG
rnacentral:rRNA from 1 species